rnacentral:misc_RNA from 1 species
GUAUACCUGAGCAACAACAUUUUAUCAUUUUUUUUUAUGCAGAUGAUUCGAUAAUUAACGGAAGAUUUAAAAGGUUUUACAUUGAUAUUUGUAUGCAUGUCCAUUUACAGUUUUAAAAUUUUUGUCAUCUUGACGAUGAAUACAUUUUUUUUAAAAUCCUGAUUUAUAUUAGAGUUAAAAACUAUUUUGAGUACGGACCAUCUAAAUUGAAAUGAUCUUUACUAUAUAGAGAAAUCUUUUGCAAUAAGGAUUGAAAAGGAAUGUAUAUGCAUGUGUUUAUAAUUUUCUCUUCGUUUCGGCAAAUUAUAAUAAUGCAGAUAUGAUAAAAUCCAAUAUCAUGCUUUUAGCCCAUUGUAUUUACUAACUGAGUUUGAGCUGUAUUAGUCAUACGUCAAAGUGUGUGAAAUCAUACACUUGUAACAUUACAAUCAAAUCAUUAUUUUAUCUGUUGUGACACUAAAAAACAGAAGAGUUAUGUUCGCUAAUAUGUCUUAUUUUGGUACGUAGUUUACUGUUAUUAGUUCGUGUUCAGACCAUGAUUAUGGUUGAUAUCUAGAUUAUCUUGCCUUGAAGCAAGUUACAACUUCUGUGAAAUGGUGUGUGCCUGUUUACUUUGGUCCUUGAAGGGUCAACUGCAGUGUAGAACAAGUGUUUGUUUUCAGAUAGAAAGAAGAUUUGUGCUUUAUAGUCUUUACCAUUGUUUGUGAUUAUUUCGCUGAAUAAACACAUCUCAAGAG